GGUCAUAGCUCAGUGGUGGAGCAUCCACUUUCAAUGCAGAAAGUCCAUGUUUCAAUCCCUGGCAUCUCCA